rnacentral:rRNA from 1 species
GACUCGUAUUCCCUAGUAACGGCGAGUGAAGCGGGAAGAGCUCAAAUUUGAAAUCUGGCAGUCUUCGAUUGUCCGAGUUGUAAUCUAUAGAGGCGUUUUCCGUGCCGGACCGUGUCCAAGUCUCCUGGAAAGGAGUAUCAAAGAGGGUGAUAAUCCCGUACUUAACACGACCACCGGUGCUCUGUGAUACGUCUUCUACGAGUCGAGUUGUUUGGGAAUGCAGCUCAAAAUGGGUGGUGAAUUCCAUCUAAAGCUAAAUAUUGGCGAGAGACCGAUAGCGAACAAGUACCGUGAGGGAAAGAUGAAAAGCACUUUGGAAAGAGAGUUAAACAGUACGUGAAAUUGUUGAAAGGGAAACGAUUGAAGUCAGUCGUGUUCUUUGGAUUCAGCCAGUUCUGCUGGUCUACUUCCUUGGAACGGGUCAACAUCAGUUUUGUCCGGUGGAUAAAGGUAUUAGGAAUGUGACUUCUCCGGAAGUGUUAUAGCCUAUUAUCACAUACACUGGGUGAGACUGAGGACUGCAGCUCGCCUUUAUGGCCGGUCUUCGGACACGUUCGAGCUUAGGAUGUUUGACAUAAUGGCUUUAAACGACCCGUCUUGAAACUCGGACCAU